UACGGAGGGGGCUAGCGUUGUUCGGAAUUACUGGGCGUAAAGCGCGCGUAGGCGGCAUUGCAAGUUAGAGGUGAAAGCCCGGGGCUCAACCCCGGAAUUGCCUUUAAGACUGCAUCGCUAGAAUCGUGGAGAGGUAAGUGGAAUUCCGAGUGUAGAGGUGAAAUUCGUAGAUAUUCGGAAGAACACCAGUGGCGAAGGCGACUUACUGGACACGUAUUGACGCUGAGGUGCGAAAGCGUGGGGAGCAAACAGG
rnacentral:rRNA from 1 species